ensembl:lncRNA
CGGAGCAGCAGGAUGGGGCUGGCCGCCGCGUCGGCCGCCUGCCUGCGCCGGGGCGGCUGGUACUCGGCGCCGAGGCUGAGCAGGCUGUACACCUGCCCGUUGUUCUCCCACUGGAUCCGCUGCCUCCAGACGGCGGGCGGCGGCGGCGGGGGGUCGCGGCGCGGCGGCGGCGGCUGCUGGCAGCCGGCGGGCCGCAGGCAGCUCCAAUAGAUACACGCGUGGAGCUGGGCGAGCAGGAGCCCCGGCGGCGCGAAAUGCAUCUUCUUCUUCUUCCUCCCCGGUUUUGCCUGGAACAAUCAGUGACUAAGACUGAGGAAAAUGGAAAGCUUGAAAAUAAGGAAAAUACAACACUGAAGAAACAAGUCAACAGAAUCAAGCAGAUACUAAUUGAAGACUGGUCUUUAGGAGUAAGCACAGAAACUGUCUUGUGCUACUGGACUGACAAAAACACUGAUGUGUGUCAACAAACAGCAAAGAGAACCUCUUACUCUCCAGCAUCAUUUCCUAGACCAGGAAGUUUGGAUAUCCAAGCACGUAAAGACAAUCUGACCCUUUCCUCUCAUGGGGUCAUCAAGCAUGUUUGGAUGAAUCUGUGCUCCUGGCUGAGCUGUGGUUAUCACAUACGAACAUUUUCUCUGAACUGCUCAUCUGUUUUUGGGCAUAAGCUUUGGCACUUAAGCAGAGAAAUGGAGGGAUCUUUUACAUACAAAUUGAUUGAGCACAUAAACUUCCCUGCCAAAAAAGAAAUCAUGUAA